GACGAACGCUGGCGGCGUGGAUUAGGCAUGCAAGUCGAACGGUAUCAUCCUUUCGGGGGUGAGAGAGUGGCGAACUGGUGAGUAACACGUAGGUUAUCUACCCUCAAGACGGGGACAACCCAGGGAAACUUGGGCUAAUACUGGAUGUGAGCAACUUUUAGUUGUUUGAAAGGUGGCGUAAGCUGUCGCUUGGGGAUGAGCCUGCGUCCUAUUAGUUAGUUGGUGAGGUAACGGCUCACCUAGGCAAUGAUAGGUAGGCGGCCUUAACGGGUGGUCGCCCACACUGGGAUUGAGAUACGGCCCAGACUCCUACGGGAGGCAGCAGUCGAGAAUAGUCUACAAUGGUCGGAAGACUGAUAGUGCGACGCCGCGUGAACGAUGAAUCCCUUCGGGGUGUAAAGUUCUUUUAUAUGUGAGCAGUGCUUCUUAUAUUAACAGUAUGGGGAAGAGAUAUUAGCAUAUGAAUAAGCAACGGCUAACUCCGUGCCAGCAGCCGCGGU
rnacentral:rRNA from 1 species